rnacentral:rRNA from 1 species
UACGUAGGUGGCAAGCGUUAUCCGGAUUUACUGGGCGUAAAGGGUCCGACGGUGGGCGGCUAAGUCUGGUGUGACAUCUCUCGCUUAACUGGGAGGGUGCGCCGGAAACUGGCGGUCUUGAGUCAUGCAGAGGGGGGCGGAAUUCCCGGUGUAGUGGUGGAAUGCGUAGAGAUCGGGAGGAACCCCAACGGCGCAAGCCAGCCCCCUGGGCCAAGGACGUGACACUCAAGGACGAAAGCGUGGGGAGCGAACAGG